rnacentral:misc_RNA from 1 species
GGGGAAAUUUUGAUUCUAUUCUGAAGACUAUGUGCUUUUUCUUUAAGGAUAUAUGUAUAUUUAUAUAUGUGUUGUUGACUCUAUAGGCAGUUUACCCGCUGCCCCUGCUUACAUUUACCUUGAAAAAAUAAAAAGAAAGACCCGGCUGAGAGAAAGCUAAAAGAAAACUCUAGGCCCAAACAGAGUUUAAGUGAAUGAAAUGAAGUGAAGAAGCCGAGUUAAGUAUAUAACAUUAAUAAUAACACUGUUAUCAUCAUCACCACAUGAAAAGAAGGAAGAGGGAGACUCUGCUGGAAGUGCAACAUUUUCAACAACAAAAAUAAAAAAAAAAUCAUAUUCAGCACUCAUAAUAGUUAUAAUCUACCCUUUUGCAAAUUAAUAUUUGAAAUCCAAAGCUUUAACGAAUAUUAAAAAAGUGAUACAAAUCCCUCUUCAGUUGUUUUCAUUGUAUUUAAAGUACUACUUAAAGCAUGAAAAGAGUGGGCCUAAAAACCGUGUUCCGUACCGACCUGGGUGGAGGAGAAAAUGAGGACAACAAGAGCAAUAUCCUUAGCGGAAGUGCUGCUCCUCUGCUCCCAAAAUCCUUUACAAGUUUCUUCUCGCAAAGAGGAGCUAAGGGUCUUAUUCAAAAAAGAAAAGAAAUGAUGAAGGCAGCCAAUGGGGAUAUCAUGGACGAAAAGGAUGAUGACAUAUGUGUUAAAAAGUCGCAAAUGAACUCUGCCGUGCAGCCCGUUAUUCCUACUCCCCGUCUAAGACGUGUCAAUUCCAGCUCUUUAUCAAUUCAUAAACCUAGAAAGAAAAUAAUCACGUUGGAUGAGUUGUACAUUGAGAUUUUAUAUACCAUUCAAAACAUGGUUGGCUGUGAUACUGAUCCAAAGGAUGAAAUUAAACUAAUAAAGUACCUACAGGAAGCAUUUCAUUACGAUACCCAAACACAUGAACAUUUAAAACAGCAAGCAAUUAUGAGAGAAGAGCCAGUUUUAAAAGCAAAUUUGGAUAUUAAAGAGGCUAAAAGUCUUCUUGGAAAGGAUUUAUCUGGUACAAGUGAUCCUUUUUGUUCGGUAUUUAUAUCGAAUAAAGCCGAAGAGAAGCAGUACACUAGCUAUAAAGCUAAAACACUGGAUCCAAAAUGGGAGGAAGAAUUCAAUUUGGAUAUUGAAAACAUCGAUAUAGACACGAUACGAAUUGAUGUAUGGAAUUUCAAGGAUCCGUAUGAGAAUGUGUCUGACAAGUUUCGUAAAAUACACGAAGUGAAAGACAGUAGAAGCUUUAAGAAAUUCAUAAAAGAUACAUAUAACGCCUCAACUGGUCAUAUUAUUCAUGAGCUUAUUGGAAGUGUGGAGUUCCCGAUUCGAAACGUUCCCUCCUCAGGAAUUCAUCGAUGGUUCAAAUUAGAAAAACCAGAUGCUAAAUCCAAAAAAUUCCGUGGUCAAAUCCAUGUUUCAUUAACUAUUUCCACAAACAAGGCAACAGAUCAAACCGCUCAAGAACAUCGCCAUCUGUUAAAAAUUCUCUUUGCUCAUGAAUUAAAAACAAAUUUACCGGAACCAUUUACGUGGAAUGGAAGUUUUAGUGAGGAGUCUGUGAAAAUUUUAGCUCAACAUGCUGUUCAAGGACGGUUAACUGGUGCGGAAACAGCUUUAGCAAGAUGGUUAGUGUACGCUCAUACACAUUGUGAUUUACCCUUAAGCUAUGCCAUUUUUGUGCCCAUAUUAGAGAAGCUAAACUAUGCGCUCAAAAAUGAUUUGUUAGAGCCCGAAGAGGAAUCUCGUUUCUAUGAGGUGGCCUCAGUAUUUGUUUGUCAUGGAUUGGAAUUUAUUAAAAAACAUCGAAGAUAUAUUGCAAAUGAUGCCAAAUAUGUUAUUCAAGUGGAACAUAUAGUCAAAUGUUUGAGUCUUCUAUAUGCUGAGGCCAGUAAGGCCGAAUCUGAAGAUAAUACUCGUUAUAUUGGAGAUAUACCUCAGUUAGUAUAUGUAGCCGUUGAGGAGAGCAUUCAGGAUUGGUAUGCCUUCAUUCAAAAGGAAAUGCCAAUGGAUAACAAUCGAGCUUUAAAAAUUAAAACAUUAAUCAGUUUAGUUCAUAUCUUAACGACAAGUGAUUUAAAGGAAUCGUGCAUGCAACUUCAUAGUUUAUUUAAGGACACCUUGGAAAUCGACUAUAUCAAAAUUGCCUAUAAAGUGUACGAAGAAAAGAUAAUUAAACUAUGCAGUCCAUUGGUGGAAGAAACUUGCGGCCAGCUUAAACCUUUGAUCUUCAGUGAAGAUGAUGGCGAAUCCGAAUAUAUCAACGAUACUCUUAAUUUGGGAACUAAUUUGUUUGAGCUGUAUUUAGCUCUACAGCGUUUCGUCACAUUUGGAGAUGAGAUAUACACAAAGGAAAAAAGAUUAUCCCCGCUUCGAAAUUCCCAUAUUUGGUUUCAUAAAGGUGUCGCAAGAUGGUUGGACAUUGCUUUGUACAAAGCAAUGCAAAGGAUUAUUAAGGCUGUUGAAUUAGACUCACUGGAACCCGUUGAUGACCUCGUGAAACAUAGCUCUUCAGCUGUUGAUAUACGUACAGUACUCACUCAAAUCAAAACAUUUUGGAAACAGCUUAAUUGGCCAGAUGUUGAAGCUUCAUAUACAUACAUUUCAAAAAUUUUAGAUGAUGUUUGCCGAACAACCAUUUUCUAUGCUGAUCAAAUGUGCAAACGUGUUGAGACAGUAUCCAAGGCUUGUGAUAAAGGAGAGUUUAUCGUGACUCCAGAACUGUGUCUUUCCAUCAAUAAUAUCGACUAUGUUCUUCAAUACAUUCAGCCUUAUGUGAGCGAGCUUGGGAUGGAGGAAACUAUUGAUAAGCUUCAUGUUCUUGAUGGAGAAGAAGUUGCUAAUUCUUGCCGUCGUACUCUUAAAACAUUGGUACAAAACGCUACAGAAAAUGUAGAAAAUAAAAUUCUACAGGUUUUGGACAAUGUUGGCGAAAAAAUGGCUCCAGUUAUUCAAAGAUUUCUUGUGGAUGGCUGUACACUGGUUGCUUACGCAGGAACAAAUAAAGAUACUCUCAUAAGCUAUUUGGAUGCAAAUCUAAUACUUCUAAAAGAUAAAUUAACGGUUGCUAACUUUGAACGUGUUCUCUCCGUUAUUUGGGAAAGCUCUGCUCAUAGCUUGAACGAUACCAUACAAUUGAGUAUUGAGAGAAAGAAACCACCCCAAUAUUUCCAAUUACUAUUGGACACACUCAAAGUACUCAGUAACUUUUUUUAUGGAGAUAAGUUACCCCAUGAUGAAACUCUACUUAAAAUGAAAAAUAUUCUUCAACUCUACGCUUCCGACAGUUCUGACCUUAUCGCCUGCUACAUGAAUGAACGAUAUAAAGAGCAAAAUCGUACAAAGGAGUUUUCCGCCCUUGGGAGUAUAACCGUUCGUCUUCAAAUGCUUCCAGAGCAUCUCCGUGUAGAAAUACUUAAUGCACGGCACCUAAAGCCCCCCAACCCCGUGGGGAGAUUUCAGCACUCAAGCGGUUCCAAAUAUGUACCACCAACAAUUAGGCGCCGAAGGAUGAAGUCAUUAGCACAUUUAUCCCGAUCUCAAAGAAAUUUGCAUUGGGUCAAAUCCAAAUUCAAAAGUCUGAAGGACAACAUUCACGAAAAAGGAGUGCAGAUGCAUUCAAGUCAUAAUGAUGGCUUGUGUGAUCCCUAUGUUUGUAUUCGACUCAUACCAGGAAACAAAUUUGUCGGCUGUCCGAAGUUGAAAACAAAGGUUCAGAGACAAACCUUAUUUCCACUAUUUGAUGAGACAUUUGAUUUUGUUCUUCCGAAUAGUUCUACUUAUCGUAUGAAUGAAGCUUAUCUUCUUCUGACCAUCAAGGAUCGUGCAUGGAUAGGACAUGGUAUAUUUGUUGGAGAAGCUCUUGUUCCUUUAAGCGAUAUAGAAAUGACUAGUGUGGAUACAAAACUAUCGGAUCUAGAGCAAAAACAGCUUCCCCUUACUCGUCCUCAGGAUCAAGAUUCAGACAUAAUCCUUGCCCUGGAUUCCCGAACAUUUGAUCGAUUAGCAAAGGACUUCUUAGUUAGAGAAAGAAGAAAAUAUGGACUCUGAGAGAUGAUUAUGAAUGGAUGCUGCUAUGAUUUAGAAAAAAAUAAAAACUCAAACAUUUUAUACAAAUGGUUCUUUAAAAUACUCGAUAAACCAUUGGAUAGAUGCGAUAUCAUAUUUAUAAAUCAAUUUAUAGUUUGUUAACAGAAAUAUUUCGUUUUGCACUCUCAGCAAAACAACAAGGAUCAAAGUGCCAAUGUUAUAUAUUAUUUUAGACUGUGAUUUUGAAGAUAAUGAAUUAAUUAGUGUUCUUCUUUUUUUCUAUAUAAAAAUUGUAUUUAGUUUUUUUGUUCUAUUAUAUCAGUAUAAUAUACCA